rnacentral:tRNA from 1 species
CAAAGUAUAGCUUAACCAAAAGCGCCCGGCCUACACCCGGAAGAUCUCAAAUAAACUGAUUACUUUGA